rnacentral:rRNA from 1 species
GAUGAACGCUGGCGGCGUGCCUAAUACAUGCAAGUCGAGCGAACAGAUGAGGAGCUUGCUCCUCUGACGUUAGCGGCGGACGGGUGAGUAACACGUGGAUAACCUACCUAUAAGACUGGGAUAACUUCGGGAAACCGGAGCUAAUACCGGAUAAUAUAUUGAACCGCAUGAUUCAAUAGUGAAAGACGGUUUUGCUGUCACUUAUAGAUGGAUCCGCGCCGCAUUAGCUAGUUGGUAAGGUAACGGCUUACCAAGGCAACGAUGCGUAGCCGACCUGAGAGGGUGAUCGGCCACACUGGAACUGAGACACGGUCCAGACCCCUACGGGAGGCAGCAGUAGGGAAUCUUCCGCAAUGGGCGAAAGCCUGACGGAGCAACGCCGCGUGAGUGAUGAAGGUCUUCGGAUCGGAAAACUCUGUUAUUAGGGAAGAACAAAUGUGUAAGUAACUAUGCACGUCUUGACGGUACCUAAUCAGAAAGCCACGGCUAACUACGUG